rnacentral:rRNA from 1 species
GACAGAGGAUGCAAGCGUUAUCCGGAAUGAUUGGGCGUAAAGCGUCUGUAGGUGGCUUUUUAAGUCCGCCGUCAAAUCCCAGGGCUCAACCCUGGACAGGCGGUGGAAACUACCAAGCUGGAGUACGGUAGGGGCAGAGGGGAAUUUCCGGUGGAGCGGUGAAAUGCGUAGAGAUCGGAAAGAACACCAACGGCGAAGCACUCUGCUGGGCCGACACUGACACUGAGAGACAAAGCUGGGGAGCGAAUGGGAUUAGAACCGUACCUCGAG